AUGAUCUGCGGACAGAAAGAGGACACAGCUGAUUUCCGGAGGAGGCGGAGGCAGUAAAAAGGUGGAGCUGGUUACAGAAGUUGAGGAGACGCGGACAGUACUUUUGGUUUGAAAAGGAGCAGAGCGCAGCUUUAUCAAAGAGGAAAAUCUUCAGCCUAAUCAUCAACAUCUGUCUUCUGGAUCCAGCAGCUCCUGAAUAAGCAGCCGAUGACACUGCCUGACAUAUACUGAGCUGUCAGAUCUCGGAGCUGCUCAUCAGCAGAGUGACACUGACGGUCUGGACGGUCUUUCUGAUCGACAUCAUCCAAAUCGGAUCAUGCAGAGACAAGGAAACAUCAAAGAACAUUAUAAAGCGAGGCAUUUAAAGCUGAAUGAUUUGAAACUGGAAGCUCAAGAUACUCAUUUGUACAAGAAGUACCUCUACAAAGACAACAUCCCUCCGUACCCCGGACCUGGAGAGGUUUCACUUGAGUUUCAGGCGUCUCGGCUGAAGCA